GAAGGGUCUCGCUCAUUUCCUGACUUCCUGUAGACCCACAGGUUGGUGGGCGUACAAGAAGCGAAGCAAUGGUGCCCUGUUACUGCGGGGAGUUGAAGAAAGUGAGUUUCACGUGGUUUACAUGGAUCUGUGGAGCUGGAGAGACUUUUCGGGUUCUCCACAAGACCCACUUUCACUAGCUGUAUCCGUCGCUCGUUUCCAAAACUAUAAUCUCAAUUUCCACAUGUGCCACGCAUUGUUACAGGAACUGUUCAACUCACCCUUCUUAUCACACAGUGAUGACUCAAACACAAAACCACAGCUGAAAAAGGCCCCCCAUAACUCACAAUAAACUGGAAAUGUUGACGUGGUUUCUGGUGUUUUUGGUAAAGUGUUCCUGUUGUGUGCAAUUGUCAAAAACGAAGAUGGAAAAUAUUAGCUCUGUGUGUGAUGUACUUUCCUUAACCCAGUAUUGGUUACUUACACCUAUUUAUGUUGAUGAUGUCCACGUUUAGACAUGACAGGAAGAAAUAAUUCUUUACAAAUGAAAGUAUCUGAAAAAUUACAGUAAAAUGAAAAAAGAGUAAAGGAUGUUUCCGGUGAGAGCGAGUGGGUGUCAUCUGUAGAUCAAUUUCCUGUAAGUCUUCUGCUUUCACUUCAACAUGUCGAGAAGACACAAAAAAGCUAAAUAGUGAGAAUAAAUACUAUGCCUUAUCUACUUGCUUUGCUCUUCUUCCUGCUGGAGAUAUGUAAUUUAGGACUUGGUUUGCCGACAGCUACCAUCCAUGGCCUUGUUAACGGAUCUGUGCUUUUGCCCUCUCUAUCUCACUACCCCAACCCAUCGGAAAUCCAGUGGAUGUAUAAUGGCAUGCUGGUAGUGUGGUAUGACAACGGCACAGUGCAACCACUUGUGAAAUCCAGAUUUGACAACAGAUUCAACCUGUUUCAAGGGAACGGCUCUCUGCAGAUCCAUGGGCUCCAAAUUCAAGACUCAGGCAUCUUUGCUGUAAAUAUAUUGAGAGAUUUAAACCAAACCUAUACAGAGGUACAUCUCUUAGUGCAUGAAAAGAUCAACACGCAUCUGGAGCUGCUGUCCAACGUGUCCGGGGAUGGCCACUGUGCUGUGGUGGUGAACUGUAGUACAAUUCUGAACCAUUGGAAGGUGGCAAAGUGCAACAGAACUGCAUGUCGGGAGACCGACAGCGGGGGGAUGGACAAGGAGUCCAGCAGCGUUCACAUUGACAUCUCAGCUGACAAACUCAUCUCCUGUAAGAGCAGCAACCCAGUCACCUCUGGCAGCAUCUCUCUCAUAGAUCUAUGCCCUGAUGAUCACAGCACAGAUUUGGACAAAGUUCAUAAUCAUCAUCGUUCUCGACUUGCUACCUACAGCAUUGCAGGGUGUUUUGCUGUGGUGCUUUUUUCGUUAGUUUUAAAUUCAAGUUCAAGGUUCAACGUCAGUUGUAAAUAGCCCUGGUGGUCCUUAGAUUGAUAGUGCACAAGAGCAGGUAGAACUGUGGUUUACCUAUAUAUUUUGGUACACAUUUAAAUAUUAUUAAUUAUCUUAAGUAAAUUGAGUCUGUAUCUAUAUUAUUUCUUUUUUUUACAUACUUGUUGGUGUCAUAUUGUAUUUUCUGUCCUUUUGUAUUUAUUUUGGGAAAUAUUGUGGCAGUCCAGGCAUCAAUACUGUCUUGUCUAGCUGGACCUCAAUGGGUGGUUGUUGUCUCAUAGCGCCUAGACAGUAUGAGUGCAUGUUAAUGUUUACAUGUUAGUGAAAACAUAUUUCUCACACUGCUUCCACUCCAGGGGGUGCGUUGGCACACUGGGUUUGGCCAGCACCUGCUUUCUGGUGGAUCUGGAGUUCAAGUCCUGCUUGGGGUGCUUUGUGAUGGACUGGCGUCCCGUCCUGAGUGUGUCCCCUCCGCCUCCAGCCUUAUGCUUUGUGUUGCCGGGUUAGGCUCCGGUUCGCUGUGACCUCUGCUUGGGAAGAGUGGUUUCAGCCAGUGUGUGUGUGUGUUUCCACUCCUCCCAUAGUUCAGCAAUGUGUGUUUCAGGUGAACUGGGAACAUUAAAUUGUGUAUGUGUGUGUGUUAUAUUGCUCUGGUGUGCAGAUGAGUGAUGUAGUGUAUCAGGAAUUGUACCUUGAAUGAAAAGCUGUUAUUCACUCUAAGUUGCUUUGGAAUAAAGCAAAUAAAGCAAGGUAACA
ensembl:lncRNA